rnacentral:rRNA from 1 species
AUUGAACGCUGGCGGCAGGCCUAACACAUGCAAGUCGAACGAGUGGCGGACGGGUGAGUAAUGUCUGGGAAACUGCCUGAUGGAGGGGGAUAACUACUGGAAACGGUAGCUCAUACCGCAUACCAUCAGAUGUGCCCAGCGGGGAUGGGCUGGUUGGUGGGGUAACGGCUCACCAAGGCGACGAUCCCUAGCUGGUCUGAGAGGAUGACCAGCCACACUGGAACGGAGAACCGGUCCAGACUCCUACGGGAGGAAGCAGUGGGGAAUAUUGCACAAUGGGCGCAAGCCUGAUGAAGCCAGGCCGCGGGUAGGAAGAAGGCCGUCGGGUUGUAAAGUACUUUCAGCGGGGAGGCGUUACCCGAAGAAGAAGCACCGGCUAACUCCGUGCCAGCAGCCGCGGUAAUUC